rnacentral:misc_RNA from 1 species
AAUUUUUUUUUUUUUGGGAAGUUUGGGGAAUAAAUUGUAUUUUGGGACAUUAGAGUUUUUGCUUUCAAGUUCCACUGCAUAGCCAAACUUAGUUUAAUCUAUCUUCUUUGUCCUGUCUUGUAUCUCAUGUAUAUCUACCAUGUGAAUUUAUAAUGAGAGAAAUAUAUAUUUUAAUUAUGGUUUAAUAAAAAAAAUAAUUACAAAAAACUAGUUAUUACUUAAGCAUUCAUGAAUCUAUGAAUUUUAGUUUAAUAGUAUUAAAAUUAUUUUUAAAAUUAUGAUAUUUUAAAUUUAAAUUCUGUCAAAUUUAAAUUUAUGAAAAAUAAAAUUAAAAAUUUUGAAGUAAUAUAUAAAAGGCAAAUUAAUUAGAAAAUUAAAGGUAAACAUUA